AUCCAUAGAACCAUUUCGGAAAGGGGAAAGGAAUAAUUAUGUGAAAUUUAGCAAAACUUAUGGAAAAUAGCUGAAGCGAAGAAUUCCACUCACGUUCGAAGUUCCAUUCCUCAGGGAACGGUAGGAUCUCCUUAGGAAUAACUUUGAUGGUCCUCACCCGGAUGAACCGAUUCAUCUAACAUCGAUCUUUGCCUUCGUCAUUACUGGCUAAGAAGGACUUAGUUGAUCUGCAUUGGAGUUUGAUUAAACCUCGAAAAUGUUGAGGUCGAUAUAAUCAGAUGAUGUGGCGGGGGGUGACCCAAGCCUGGCCUAUUCGAUGAAGAACCUCAUCAUUAUUAUGAUCAUCCAAAAGGGCAGAUGAAUCUGGCCUAGGUGACUUGAUAUCUUUGGCAGAAUUCAAGCACGAGAGGGUCGAUGGGACCCAAUGUAAAGGGGUAUGUAUACACACUCGGUCACCCUUCUACGUAAGUUGUGAUGUCCUCCUCACGAGAAGAUAUUUGCAGAAUUAUCUUCUCUUCCCAUUAACACUCUCUCCUCACAACAUCGAGGUAUUUUUUCUUAAUUGACC
rnacentral:lncRNA from 1 species